GAUGAACGCUGGCGGCGUGCUUAACACAUGCAAGUCGAACGGUGAAGCAGAGCUUGCUCUGUGGAUCAGUGGCGAACGGGUGAGUAACACGUGAGCAACCUGCCCUGGACUCUGGGAUAAGCGCUGGAAACGGCGUCUAAUACUGGAUACGAGACGUGGCCGCAUGGUCAACGUUUGGAAAGAUUUUUUGGUUCAGGAUGGGCUCGCGGCCUAUCAGCUUGUUGGUGAGGUAAUGGCUCACCAAGGCGUCGACGGGUAGCCGGCCUGAGAGGGUGACCGGCCACACUGGGACUGAGACACGGCCCAGACUCCUACGGGAGGCAGCAGUGGGGAAUAUUGCACAAUGGGCGAAAGCCUGAUGCAGCAACGCCGCGUGAGGGAUGACGGCCUUCGGGUUGUAAACCUCUUUUAGCAAGGAAGAAGCGAAAGUGACGGUACUUGCAGAAAAAGCGCCGGCUAACUACGUGCCAGCAGCAGCCGCGG
rnacentral:rRNA from 1 species